GUGAGGAAUAUUGGUCAAUGGGCGUAAGCCUGAACCAGCCAUCCCGCGUGAAGGAAGAAUGCGCUAUGCGUUGUAAACUUCUUUUCCAGAGGAAUAAAAUUUUGUACGAGUACGGAACUGAAGGUACUCUGGGAAUAAGCAUCGGCUAACUCCGUGCCAGCAGCCGCGGUAAUACGGAGGAUGCGAGCGUUAUCCGGAUUUAUUGGGUUUAAAGGGUGCGUAGGCGGAUUAAUAAGUCAGUGGUGAAAACCUGCAGCUUAACUGUAGACUUGCCAUUGAUACUGUUAGUCUUGAGUACGGUCAAGGUAGGCGGAAUGUGUAAUGUAGCGGUGAAAUGCUUAGAUAUUACACAGAACACCGAUUGCGAAGGCAGCUUACUGGGCCAUUACUGACGCUGAUGCACGAAAGCGUGGGGAGCGAACAGGAUUAGAUACCCCGGUAGUCC
rnacentral:rRNA from 1 species